rnacentral:rRNA from 1 species
UACGGAGGGGGCUAGCGUUGUUCGGAAUUACUGGGCGUAAAGCGCACGUAGGCGGCUUUGUAAGUUAGAGGGGAAAGCCCGGGGCUCAACUCCGGAAUUGCCUUUAAGACUGCAUCGCUAGAAUUGUGGAGAGGUAAGUGGAAUUCCGAGUGUAGAGGUGAAAUUCGUAGAUAUUCGGAAGAACACCAGUGGCGAAGGCGACUUACUGGACGCAGAUUGACGCUGAGGUGCGAAAGCGUGGGGAGCAAACAGG